GCUACCCCUAGAGGCAUUGCUGGUCUGGCUGUGGUGUCAUGUGUACAUUGGUGGCAGAGAGGAGAGAGGCUAUUUCUAAGCUCAGUAGCUCAGUAUUCUGACCUAUGAACAACUGGAUGACUAGUAUCCUAACAUU